rnacentral:tRNA from 1 species
AUAAAAUUAAGUUAUACCUAGACUGUAUGUUUUCAAAACAUAAUGAGGGUGCUUAUCCAUUUUAUG